UACGUAGGGUGCAAGCGUUGCCCGGAUUUAUUGGGCGUAAAGGGCGCGUAGGCGGCUCUGCACGUUCGUUGUGAAAUCGCCCGGCUCAACUGGGCGGGGUCAGCGGAUACGGCAGAGCUUGAGCAAGCUAGGGGGCAAUGGAAUUCCCGGUGUAGUGGUGGAAUGCGUAGAUAUCGGGAGGAACACCAACGGCGUAGGCAGCGCCCUAGACGAGACCUGACGCUCAGGCACGAAAGCGCGGGGAGCGAACAGG
rnacentral:rRNA from 1 species